rnacentral:lncRNA from 1 species
AUUUUUUCCCUGGGUUUAGAUCCCUUGUUUUCAGAAAUGUGGUUGCAAAUAAUGAGGGCUAGAAAGUUAUUUCCUGGUAAGAGGAAGCUUGGCUCCACAGUUUUCCCAGGUUCCCUCAUGCUUCUGACACAUGCAGAGCUCUUGCCUGUUUCUUAAUAGUAUGCAGCAGCCGGAGUCAGGCUACUUCAUCCUAUUGAGCCAUAGGUUCCCAUAAGAAGGAAGGUUCUCCCAGAGGAUGGUCAAAUAAACAGAACCCUCAUCUGGAUUCUAGAAUGUUAAAUAUAUUGUUGGGUAUAGAUACUCCUGACCAUGAGAAGCAUGGAACCUACUGCAGCAUUUAUCACAGAAGAAGUGGAAAUCAGGAGUCCUGUACUUUUCAAUAUAUCAUAAGUGAGGAACCACUUUCCAUAUCUUGUUGGACUCCAACCCCAUCAGCUCCAGUUAGCAUGCAUGGCCAAUGGUAGGUAAUGGUUGUAGACCUGCCAUAUCUGAAGGAGUGGUUUCCUUAUGCUAUCAUUUAGUAGGAAUGUAUUGCCUGUGGAAUCACCAAGGAUGGUGCAUAAAGAAAGCUUGGAAGAGG